rnacentral:rRNA from 1 species
AUGGUUCAGACUGCUCACAAGAGAAAACUACCUAUGGUUGUGCUGAAGCUUGAUUUCUGGAAAGCCUUUGACAAGGUUAGCUGGCAAUGCCUCUUCACCAUCAUGGAAGCUAGAGGUUUUCCUCGGCGCUGGAUUCGUUGGGUCUCCUCUCUCCUAUCGACUGCCAGCUCCAGGGUUUUGAUUAAUGGGCAGCUUGGGGAGUCCUUCAAUGCAAAGAAAGGUUUAAGGCAGGGCGAUUCCACGUCACCUUACUUGUUCAUCCUGGUUGCAGACGUGUUGCAAAGGCUUUGCUAUGCCCAGUUUGAAGCUGGAAACCUGGUUCACCCGCUUGGAUCUGAUCGGCUGUUUCCAAUGUUACAGUACGCGGAUGACACGCUGCUACUCUUCCAAGGCAACCUGUAA